rnacentral:rRNA from 1 species
GGUAUGGGAUGAGCUUGCGUCCGAUUAGCUAGUUGGCGGGGCAACGGCCCACCAAGGCGACGAUCGGUAGCCGGCCUGAGAGGGUGAUCGGCCACAUUGGGACUGAGAUACGGCCCAGACUCCUACGGGAGGCAGCAGUAGGGAAUAUUGCACAAUGGGGGAAACCCUGAUGCAGCAACGCCACGUGUGGGAAGAAGCAUUUCGGUGUGUAAACCACUGUCAUGAGGGAAUAAGGCCCGCCUUCGGACGGGAUUGAAUGUACCUUGAGAGGAAGCACCGGCAAACUUCGUGCCAGCAGCCGCGGUAAUACGAGGGGUGCAAGCGUUGUUCGGAAUUACUGGGCGUAAAGGGAGCGUAGGCGGGGAUUCAAGCGGAUUGUACAAUCCCGGGGCCCAACCCCGGCUCUGCAGUCCGAACUGGAUCUCUUGGAUAGUUCAGGGGCAGGC